rfam:Drosophila ananassae strain TSC#14024-0371.13 Ctg01_18805, whole genome shotgun sequence.
AAUUUGGCUCUUAUCAGAGCCAUAAGAAACAAACAAGUGAAAUGAUU